GGGCCGUUAGCUCAGUUGGUAGAGCAGCUGACUCUUAAUCAGCGGGUCGCAGGUUCGAGUCCUGCACGGCCCA
rnacentral:tRNA from 1 species